GUUGCAUGCAAGCUCUUCAAAGGUGAUAAGAAAAAUAGAGACUGGUUACAGCUACGAUGCGUCUUACGGACCUGAAGCUGUUCUUAGCUGUGUAUCAGGCAGUUAAAGAUAUUUUUAACUUCCAGUCUUUAAAAGGUGAUGGACUUUUUUUUUUUAAUAUAAAAAGCAUAUUAAAAUAUUAAGCAUAUUUAAAAGGCUAUCAUGAAUAACAUGAAUUAAGCAAACAAGACAGGAAUAGGAGUGGAGCUUUGGGAUGUUAUGCUAGGUGUUCUUACACAUUUUCUGUGUAGCACUCCUUCCACCAGAAGAAACUCACUAGCCCAUGGAGAAGAAACAAUUAGGGCUGGUUUAAUGUAAUGUUAUUUACUCUUUCAUAUUCUGCAGGACCUCAUUAGAAGGAUGAGAGAUGAGUUCCAGCCGUGCAUGUAUGUUAAUAAUAGGCAGUACAAACAAGAUUAUAUUAAGAGAAUCCCGGAUGAUACAUAAGGAAUUAGAGACAGGAGUCUCUAUAAAAGCAGGCAUGCACUCAGUGAAAGUAAGUGCUUGUAAGUCUUUGCAGAAGAGGAACCACAAAGGUAGAGGCUGGGUCAAACUCCUUAAGCUUCCUAAAAAUUUGUGGUAAUCCAAACAGUGAAGUGAAAUCCAGGAGUCCUCUGAGCUAUUGUUGGCUUAUUUUCACUAUCUUAGAACUUUGUCCUUGAAAUUCCUUUUGGAAGAAACUUAAACCAAAACAGAUUUACUGCACUGGGGUUGUGAGACAGUAGAAAAAUGCAGUUUGUCUCCAAAAUAGAUUGUUCUAAAUCCCCUGCACACGUGAUGCUCAAAGUGUGAUCAGAAGGACCUCUGAAGGACUGGUAAUCGUGCAUUUUAAAAUAGCUGCUCCUUUUAAGCCUUCCUAAAGAACCCAGGAAUUCCAAGAUGUUUUUCAUGUGGCACAAGUACUUUUUCCUUAUUAUUUAACCAGGGGGACUUUCCUUAGAGACCAAUCUUCAGGAAGACACUUUAGCACGUGUGUACAUUUAAGAGAAUUUAUCUCCUAUUGAAGUCCACGGAGCUUGAGAGGUGCCUAAAAGUAAACAGGAGUUUAAGAGUUUUCUUUAAGCAGCAGGGCCGUGAUGUCUAGUAUGUGUGAAGUCUUUUAGAGAACUGUAAAGGGCAAAAUACAUGAUGAAAAGACCAAAUGAUAAUAGAUGAAAGAGAGGAACAAGCUGUGUCCACUACUAUUAAACAACUUCUUAUCAGUAUUUCCAUUAGGUGCCAGUCUCUGAAGAUAAGUGCACCAUUCAGCUGCUAGUUUGGGAUGGUGUAUAUUUUGCCUAUAUAUUGACAGUAAAAAUCAAACGAUAGAAGUGUGCAGUGUGUGGUGUCAUGGUUCAGUCCAGCGGAUCAAACCACUGUGCAUCACACCAGAUGCUAUUACAAUGCUGUAAUUUCUGUGGGAUACAAAUCAAUGACAGAAAACUUCAAAACAAAGAUUAAAACUAUUUACACAGAGACAAAAUCACUUUGAGGUUUUCAAUGACUUGUACUUUCUAAGCACCAGUGAUUCCUACCCCUAGUAACUUCCUAGUAAAAACACUGUAACUACUGUAUUUUCACCUUGUAUGUAGAUGAUUAUUUAGGAAUACAUUUAAAUCUGUACCAAAAUGUACUGGUCAUACAAAGUUAAGGUUACAAACGUCUUCAUUCUCUCAAAAUACAUCUGAAAAGGAAGAGAGUUGACAAACUUGCCAGCAUUUUGUACUGACAUUUUACUUUAAUUUCCAGGAGACGUUUUAACUGCAUAGCAGCCACAGCCAGAAACUGGGUGGUAGGCUCGCCAGGACUGGAGAGAGGAUGAAGCAACACUGGGCUGGACUUGCAAGGAUGGAGUUGGAACUGGCUAGGAAAGGCUGUCCAGCCUGGAAGCUGCAGAAGGAAACACAGCAGUUUCUGUUUCCCGACAGCCCUCUCUCAUAAACGCACUGCCAGGUCAGAGGUGUGUGUCUGCAUAGUGCAGCCUGUUGUAUCCCUCUGAGCACCGCAGGAGCUGACAUAGAUUUCAGCAGGGUGUCCAGCCCACAGCAACAACGCCCUUUUCCUCAACAGGUUUGGUUAGCCCCAAGCAAACUGCUCUGCUCACAUAGCUGAACUGUGUCUGCUGCUGGAGGCAGCUUGGAUGUAUCUGCACAGAACUGUGUUACAUCAUCAUCCCUAAUAAAUACUUGGCAAAUCAAA